rnacentral:rRNA from 1 species
GACAGAGGAUGCAAGCGUUGUCCGGAAUUACUGGGCGUAAAGCGCGUGUAGGUGGUGGGACAAGUCUGCUGUGAAAGCGCCUGGCUUAACCGGGCGAGGUCGGCGGAAACUGUCCGACUAGAGGACGGUAGAGGGGGGUGGAAUUCCCGGUGUAGUGGUGAAAUGCGUAGAGAUCGGGAGGAACACCUGUGGCGAAGGCGGCCCCCUGGGCCGGCCCUGACACUGAGACGCGAAGGCGUGGGGAGCGAACGGG